UACGUAGGUGGCAAGCGUUGUCCGGAUUUACUGGGCGUAAAGCGCACGUAGGCGGCGACUCAAGUCAGAGGUGAAAGCCCGGGGCUCAACCCCGGAACUGCCUUUGAUACUGCAAAUCUCGAGUCCGAUAGAGGUGGGUGGAAUUCCUAGUGUAGAGGUGAAAUUCGUAGAUAUCCGGAGGAACACCGGAGGCGAAGGCGGCGAUCUGGAAGACCACUGACACUGAGCAGCGAAAGCGUGGGGAGCAAACAGG
rnacentral:rRNA from 1 species